GCUCCCGCCCCGCGAGGGCGCCGCCGCCUCCGCGGCCUCCGCGCGGCGCCCCGCGGGCUCUGCGGCGCGGGCGGGCUCCGGCGGCGCCGGUCUCGCUCGGCAGCCGCUGCAUGGCAGCCCGUGGCCGCCGGGCAGGGCCGCGCUCGCCGCCCCCCCGGCUGCGGAAGGAGGACGGCGGGGCAUGCCGCCGGCGGGGCGUUUCUGCGGGGACUGACAUGCUGCCGCAGGAGGGAGGCUGCCAGCCCCUUCGCCUCUGCCGCCGGUAGCGGCCGCGAUGCGCGGCGCUCCCCUGGCUCUCCCGCAGGCGCCGGGCUACCGCCGAGAGCAGCCGCGCUCGCCGCUGUGAGCGGGCCGGCGGCGAGGCGCGGCCGCGGGGCGCCGCCGCCGGGGAAGGCGUUGCCCGCGCCCGCGGGGCCCCGCGCAGCGGGCGGCUCCGCGCGGCGGAUGCGUGUGCAUGAGCGCUGCACCGAGCGGGCGCAGGAAGCGCCCCCGCUCCGCCGCCUCCAUCUUCCAGGGCGGCAAGAGCCCGCCGGGCGGCCGGGACUGUGAACGCCGGGGCAGCGGCUCCGAGAGCGCCCAGCAGACCCAGAGAGCCCUGGACGACUGCAAAAUGCUUGUCCAGGAGUUCAAUACCCAGGUGGCCCUAUACCGGGAGCUGGUCAUUUCCAUCGGGGAUGUCUCAGUCACCUGUCCGUCUCUACACGCCGAAAUGCACAAGACUCGAACCCGAGGAUGUGAGAUGGCCUAUCAGGCUCAUCAAAAACUAGCAGCAAUUUCUGGCCCAGAAGAUGGUGAAAUUCAUCCUGAAAUCUGUAGAUUAUACAUCCAGUUGCAGUGUUGCUUAGAAAUGUACACAACAGAAAUGCUUAAGUCCAUAUGUUUGCUAGGAUCCCUUCAGUUUCAUCGGAAAGGAAAAGAGCUUUGUGCACCACCCAAGAUCCUAGACACUAAAGUGGAGGAGAGUUCUGAAGUACCUAUUUUAGAAGACACGUCAUCAUCUCCAACAGAUAUUCAACAGCAUUUAUGGCAAGUUUCCACAGAUAUUGAGAACACUGACAGAGAUAUGAGAGAAAUGAAAAACCUUUUAAGCAAACUCAGGGAGACUAUGCCUUUACCACUGAAAAAUCAAGAGUCCAGCUAUGAUCACAGUUUACAGCUGACCUCAGAGAAUUGAUGCUUCAGGAGUGGACAGUCAUACGUAUUAUUGACACAGGAGUUAAAACUACAAAAUAUUCCAAGACCUUUAAUUAAUUAAAGCUAGAGGAAAGUAUAAGAAAAUAGAACAAACAAACGAACAACAACAUUAUAGAUGAUAGCAGCCUCCUAAAUUUGACUCCUUACCCAUUAGUAAGAAGACGGAAGCGAAGAUUCUUUGGACUGUGUUGUCUUGUCUCCAGUUAGAAGAUUAAGUACAGAAAUGAUGAGAAAAUCGUAACUUUGAUUAAACCACUAUCAUUUGAGCGCUGCAAAGAUGAACAUUACUACUCUUGAUUAUAAAGUAUAUUUUCUACGCUAGCCUGUUCCUUUUUCUCUUCUGCUCCAUCCCCCUUUUCAAAAUAGAGUUUUAACAAUUUAAAGUUAUAGUGUUCAAGAACCAGUUGUGGAACAAAUCUAGAAUAACUAAGAAUGUUUCUAAAACUUUUUAAAGUAUGUUUUGCAUGCUUAAAUGGCUCAGAGAAAGACACAUGAAUUAUGGUUAAUAGAUCAUUUUUAAGUUUUUAUUGUUUGAACUGCAGCUAAAACUUUGUGCAUAGUACAGUACUCUUAUUAGUAUCACAUUAAAACAGUCUUUAAGCAUAGAAAGCUAUUUAAUAGCAAAGUAUUGAAGUUCUAAACCGUUUAGACAAUAUUGUAACAGAAUUUGCACAAAAUCUACAGUUGCUUUUUGUGCUCUCAUUCAUAUUUAGUCUUCCACUCUAUCUCAAUCUAAAGGCUUCAUAGAAAAGUAUCUUAAUUUAUGAUACACAAACCGUAUAUAAAAAUAUUUAGAUCUUGUAAAUACAGAGAAAUCAUAAUAUCUACAUACUGUACAAUGCAUAGAAAUAAUAAAUUUCCUUUUAAGCCAGUGGUAUCUCUCCAGCCUUUUGGAAAAAAAAUAAGUACUUUAUUAAAAGCAGGUGUAGUAAAAUAAACAGUUACCCUACAAUGUACAACAUACCACUAACCCAUUUUGUUUCCAAUAGAAUUUAAAGCAUGGUAUCUGCAUAUCACUAACUAUUAACUCUUACAGGGCAUGCCAGAAUUAGCUCAGAUUGUAAGAUAUUAAACAUUUUACAUUGUUAAUAAAGUUUUUUAUUUAAAUUAA